rnacentral:rRNA from 1 species
UACGAAGGGAGCUAGCGUUGUUCGGAAUCACUGGGCGUAAAGCGCACGUAGGCGGAUUUGUCAGUCAGGGGUGAAAUCCCGGGGCUCAACCUCGGAACUGCCUUUGAUACAGCAAGUCUUGAGUUCGAGAGAGGUGGGUGGAAUUCCUAGUGUAGAGGUGAAAUUCGUAGAUAUUAGGAAGAACACCGGUGGCGAAGGCGGCCCACUGGCUCGAUACUGACGCUGAGGUGCGAAAGCGUGGGGAGCGAACGAGGA